AAAACCAAACCCCUUGCUUUUAAGUCUUGUUUUUAGAGUCAAAACCUGUUUUCUUUUGAUCUUUUGAGUCUUUGAAGUUCUAUUUUCGUCCAAAUCACUUGUUAGGUCUAGAAUUGAGUCUUUUUAUUGUUAUUUGCUGUUUUGAGUGUUUUAAGUUAGUUUUGAGUUUAUAAAGUCUAGUUUAGUGUUUUUUAUCUUAUAUUUGUUGAUUAGCAUCCCUAGUUAAUCCCCGGUCUAGAACGAUCCAUACUUGCAUCAUUACUACAAUUGUCAUCAAUAGGGUUUAAUUUGUGUGUCAACUUAAUUUUCACACCACCUAUGUACUUGUGUAAACCCUUCACAAUUAAUGAGAACUCCUCUACUCCGUGGACGUAGCCAAUCUGGGUGAACCACGUACAUCUUGUGUUUGCAUCCUUGUCUCUAUCCAUUUGCAUACUUAUCCACACUAGUGACCGGAGCAAUCUAGCGAAUGUCAUAAAUUUGACACUUUCUGUUGUACCAAAGUCCUCACUGAUUUUGUACAUUAACAUCCUUUAAUACAAGUUGUUGAUGAGAUGUCUUUCAGAGAAUGAGCUUCCACUUGGAUACUUGAGUAAUCCUCUCAAAUUUACAGAUUUUUCCAUGAAAAAUUGCUUUUCGCUGCAAAAUUUCGGCUGAGUAAUGAUAUGAAAUAAUCCAACACUCAAAUUAAACCCUCUUUUUGACAAUUGUAGUAAAGAUGUAAGUAGGGAUUGUUCUAGAUGAUAGGAGCAUAUUUAUGCGACUUAGUUGGCUUGUUCUUGUGCAUUUAUGUCGUGUU
rnacentral:lncRNA from 1 species